rnacentral:lncRNA from 1 species
AUGUCCCCAGCCACGUCUCCACCCUGCAGGGCUCUGUGCAGUGUCCCUGUGUCCCCAAGGAUGUCCCCAGCUGUGUUGCUCCCUGAAAAGCCCCACUGUGUCCCCAGGGUGAGCCCUGGUCACCUCUCACAGCGUCCGUGGGGAGAUGGAUCCCACCCCCCUCCUGGGAAUGGGAGAGCCACAGGGGAGUGUGAGAUGCAGGCAGGACUGGGAGCAGUGGGAGCAGUGGGAGCAGUGGGAUCACUGGGAGCAGUGGGAUCACUGGGAGCAGUAAGAUCAGUGGGAUCACUGGGAGCAGUGGGAUCACUGGGAGCAGUGGGAUCACUGGGAGCAGUGGGAUCACUGGGAGCUCACUGCUGUGGGGAUGUGUCCUGUCCCCAUCAGGGCCCCCAAGUCGGGGUGCCCCAGGUGGGGUGUGGCUGGCGGGGGCUGUGCCCAGCCAGGGCUCGGGGUGGGGGCUGCAGGGUGCCAGGGCAGCACUGGCCUGCGCCCCCCAUGUCCCCGUGCCAGCAGGGGGUGCCGUGGCCCCCGUGGGCAGGGCGCCCCGGGGCAGGGCCCUGCAGGGAACACUGAGCGCUUUCCUUUUUUUAAUCUCGCUAUUUUCUUACGGAAGCCCCUCCCCUGGCAUGACGGUCCUAGAGGCGUUUAUUAACAGAUCAGAGAGUAUAGGUUUAUAAAUUCUUAUAGAGUAGUGGAAAUAUUUUUAUCCCUCCACAAACAUUCUCAAUAAAUAUACGGCUGACCCGGCUUGUCUGCAACCCCGCGUGGCUUCCACCGAAUGGGGGCAUCCCCCGACCCUGGGCAUCCCCCGACCCUGGGCAUCCCCCG